AUACAUCAGAAGACUCACAUCAGUUAACUUAUUAUUUCCUACAGUGUUUUACAGCAUAAACAUUGAUCUAUCGCUAUAAUCAUUUAAUUAUAAUCUCACUCAUCACUGAGCACGUGUUAAUGCAGGGAAAUUAUACAACAUAGAAACAUCAACACAACAAACAGUCACUUACUUUUCUUCAUGAACUCAACACAUGAAUAUUGAAAGCUGGAUCAUUUAGAAGGGACUGAAGAAGCUACACAACACGGUAGACUAAACUUCCUCUAUCAUAACCACAUUAUAAGAGUCUUAAAGUGACAGACACCCAGAAAUGUCAGAGCCUUUUAUACAACUUAAGUGAAUUAAUUUGUUUUUAAUUUUAUGAAGAAGCAGUGCACAUCAACCAUGUUUGAAGCAUUCGAGGAGGAGACAAAACUGCAGGAGAAAGAAGUGCAGAACAUUCUGAGUACAUCUUGAACAUCUUGAUGGUAGCAGCACAUUCAAUAAUACAGAAGCAGACACUGAAAGUCUUUAUCCUCACUAACUAUUAUAGUAGCUUUAUGACAAAUACCUUAUACAUGUUUGAAGUAUUACCUGCUCCUAUAUGAUGCACUUCUGUUUUUAGGGAGGUUAGGCUGUGAUGUUUGGAAAUUGCAGUAAUUUUAUGAGUUUGUUUAUAAUACCCAAUAGUUGCCAGAUGUUGUCCUGUCAGAAAUUCUUCUUCACGUGGUCCUGGAGGAGGAUGAUGCUGUAUUGUUAAAUCUCUCUUUGGUUUGUUUCAGAUUCAGAAGUCUGGUGGACAGUCAGGCACACUUCUGCUGGCUUGAUGGUGUAACUAAAUGGAGAACAAAUUCUGAGCCAUCGCAGGAAUUUUAGAAAAUGUUUACACUGCAGCCGACACUGCAAUGAAGUGAACAAUAACUGCUUACCAGGCUAUGUUGGAAACGAGGAGAGAUGCAAGUCUUUUACUCAGAAAACACCCAUCCAGGGUUUAGCAGUGAGUGGUCAUGAUGCUGCAGGAGGAAUAACUCUGUAUAACACAUCAGUUCUGUUCUGAAAGUCUUGUAAAUACCUCAGGAUUGUUUGUGAUUCUGAUUUCUGACAUCUACUAGGGAGCGCCCCUAAUAUUAUGUUUAUAUAUACAGUAUAUGACAAAGUUUCUUUGUUCUUUGUCUCCGAGCUCUUCUGCAAAUCAUGCACCGAAGGGUUCUGUAUUUAUUAUGUUUUAUAUCUUAAGGACCACAAUAUGGAAAUAAGGCUAUGGGAUUUUUGUGUUUUAAUAAUUUUGAACACUUCAUGUUGAGUGUUGUUGUUCAAUAAAGUAUUCAAUCAAUCAAAAUCUGUCUAAUACAUGUAUCCAAUCUUUCUACUCUAAUUAACUUUUUAAUACAAAACAGUAUAUGUGUCUUUUAUUAAACAAUAUUCUCAACUCUGUGAUUAUAAUACUUUGCAUUAAAGCAACACUUGCAGUAUAAAAUAACAACAGCAGUUUCUAAUGUUCUGAAGGAUUGCAUAUAAAAUUGGUUAUAAUACUUGGCUUAUAAAAGUUGGAUAAUUUGUAUAUUACACAAUGUGUGAAUGUU